AAAUUGAAGAGUUUGAUCAUGGCUCAGAUUGAACGCUGGCGGCAGGCCUAACACAUGCAAGUCGAGCGGUAGCACAGAGAGCUUGCUCUCGGGUGACGAGCGGCGGACGGGUGAGUAAUGUCUGGGAAACUGCCUGAUGGAGGGGGAUAACUACUGGAAACGGUAGCUAAUACCGCAUAACGUCGCAAGACCAAAGUGGGGGACCUUCGGGCCUCAUGCCAUCAGAUGUGCCCAGAUGGGAUUAGCUAGUAGGUGGGGUAACGGCUCACCUAGGCGACGAUCCCUAGCUGGUCUGAGAGGAUGACCAGCCACACUGGAACUGAGACACGGUCCAGACUCCUACGGGAGGCAGCAGUGGGGAAUAUUGCACAAUGGGCGCAAGCCUGAUGCAGCCAUGCCGCGUGUGUGAAGAAGGCCUUCGGGUUGUAAAGCACUUUCAGCGGGGAGGAAGGCGGUGAGGUUAAUAACCUUGUCGAUUGACGUUACCCGCAGAAGAAGCACCGGCUAACUCCGUGCCAGCAGCCGCGGUAAUACGGAGGGUGCAAGCGUUAAUCGGAAUUACUGGGCGUAAAGCGCACGCAGGCGGUCUGUCAAGUCGGAUGUGAAAUCCCCGGGCUCAACCUGGGAACUGCAUUCGAAACUGGCAGGCUAGAGUCUUGUAGAGGGGGGUAGAAUUCCAGGUGUAGCGGUGAAAUGCGUAGAGAUCUGGAGG
rnacentral:rRNA from 1 species